rnacentral:rRNA from 1 species
CUACGGGAGGCAGCAGUGGGGAAUUUUGGACAAUGGGGGCAACCCUGAUCCAGCCAUGCCGCGUGCGGGAAGAAGGCCUUCGGGUUGUAAACCGCUUUUAGUCGGGAAGAAAAGGCCUGGGCGAAUACCCUGGGUUUUUGACGGUACCGGCGGAAUAAGCACCGGCUAACUACGUGCCAGCAGCCGCGGUAAUACGUAGGGUGCGAGCGUUAAUCGGAAUUACUGGGCGUAAAGCGUGCGCAGGCGGUUCGCUGUGUCCGAUGUGAAAGCCCCGGGCUUAACCUGGGAAUGGCAUUGGAAACUGGCGGGCUUGAGUGUGGCAGAGGGGGGUGGAAUUCCGCGUGUAGCAGUGAAAUGCGUAGAGAUGCGGAGGAACACCGAUGGCGAAGGCAGCCCCCUGGGCUAACACUGACGCUCAGGCACGAAAGCGUGGGGAGCAAACAGGAUUAGAUACCCCAGUAGUC